AGCGGCAAACCCUAAUGUACUCCGCCUGCAUACUAUCUCUGCAUUUUUGCCAAAUAUGUGAAGGAGCAGUGUACAUCUCACAUUUCGUUGUUGCUCAUCUGUUUUGGGCAAGAAAAACUAAUGCUCUUGCCCUCUCUCCUCCACGCCACCAUUGGACAACCUCAAAGUUUUGCAUGGUUGUGAAGUGUGGAGGAGAUAAAAAGGCUCAACACCAUUCUCAACAAGGGCUGCCACUACAAAACGUAAACUUUCCUCUUCUCUUUAGUUAUUAGUUUUAUUUGAUCAAUUUAUUUGAUUGCCUAGCUAUCUGUUUGUCUGCUUGUUUAUCUAUUUUAUCCUAGUUUGUUUAAGUGUGAAUUAUUGUUUAAGUGUCUUCUAGUUAUGUAGUUGUUUUGUUUAGUUCUAUUAGUGGUAGAUUAGAUAGA